rnacentral:lncRNA from 1 species
ACUGCUCUAGUUCUACAAAUUAAUAAGAAUGUUGCAAGAUUCAAUGACCAAUCACAAAAGUCAUUUGAAAAAAUAUCCACAAGUUAAACUACAUAUGUGGGUUAUACACAUUUAGUAAGGGAUGCAAGUCCCACAAAUUUAAUUGGCAUUAUGUUAAGUACAAGUCAAAAUCAGCGUAAACAUCCCAUAGGAAAAAAUGUCAUUGAUUUUUCAUUCCCACAGGUAUAAGGAGAACUACAUUUGAGCUUUCGUAGAACAAGCUUGAAGAAGAACUUGAGUUAAACCAGUCUCAGCUUUAAAUUGUGGAAAAUAAAUAAGUGGCGGUGAGUUAGAAAGUGUGGUGGUAUAAACUUGUCCUAUUGCUGGCUUGGUUUCCCAAUAGUAUGAGGAUAGGAUUGACAUUUGUUGAGGGAAUCAACCUAGCCACUCUUCGUUUUGGACGUAGUGAUUUUGCUACUGAGCUUAAAAUGCUAACUUUGUUUGAUAAAUAUAUAGAAAACUGCUCGAAACUCAUAAAAUGACUUUUAGAAUGCAUGAAUAUAAAACUUCAAAGAUUAGCAACUCCAUUUCUCCGAGUAAAGCUUAUCUUUAUAGGAAAAAAACUUCAAAAGAGAUUUUCACUUCAGUGCCUAAUAAUACCAAAAUAAAUUAGUGGAUGAUACAUACUAUUAACUAAAAUGGUAACAACUUAGAAUUAGCUAUAUAAAAGAUGAAAGUGUUUUAUUAAGAGUUUAAUUGUUAUAUUUCAUAAUUACUUUUUCUUUAUAGUUUAUACAACACAUUAUUUUCAAGACACUUACAAUUAGGACAUCAUUUUAAUUUCCAUUCCUUAUUUUGCUACAACUUUAACUUCAUUCUUGACAUUGCAGUAUGCAGAAGAAGAAAACAUUAAACAUUAAUGAAACUCAACAAGACUCAUAGGCUCAAAAAAACUAUUGACAUUGCAGUAUGAUAUUAAAAGGAACUGUUCUAGGCUUUCACUGGCAACAUACCACAAAGCUUAUUAACUAGUGUGUUGGUAGAAAGUUGUGUUGUUGUUGGCUUGGUUUUCCUGUAGUACUCAUAAGCAUUGGGAGGAGGAAGAACUACAAAUUGGCAAGAUUCUCUUAAACCAGACCAUACAAAAUAAUAAACACAGAUUUCCACAAUCAAGUGCAAUGAGUUAAUUCUAAGCCAUGGAUACAAAAGAUGAAAUGUAAGAAUUAGCAAUUGUGCUUAACAUUGUCACUGAAACCAGAAUUUCAUUAUAUAGCUUCAAAAUAAAUCAAACUUUAAUCAUUAAAGAAAAGUGAUAUCCUUCUGAAUAAUAUGAAUAGUAAAUUUGAUAGCAUGAUAUUAGAAUUCAUCAAAAUUACAUAGGUGAAUCAUGUAAAGCUAAGCAUGAAAAACAGAAUUGAAGACAUUACGUUUGGAAAAUGAGUGACCAUGAACUAACUGAAAGGGGAAGUAAGAUAAUAUCAUUUUGACUCUACUACAUGAUAAUCAUGUAUAGUUAUUUUGAUUGCAUGAUAUUCAACUUUAUUUUAACAGAUCUGACUUCUCAAAUGGGGAUACUCACAAGCACUAUAGUCUUAUACAACUCUCUUAUGCAAUUUGCACAAAACAUCAACGGUCCUUUAUUCAUACUUAUCUUAAAUAGCAAAUUAAGCUUUUUUUUUGUUUUAUGUUUUUCAUGAAAAAAACAUUUGGAUACCUUGCUGAUUAGAUUUGUGCGGUUUCCAAUGAGUGAACCUAACCGAAAGGCAUAUUAAAAAUUUGGAUACCUUGCUGAUUAGAUUUCUGCUGAUUAUCAAAUUGAGCAAUGGAUAUUCCUUUGGAAUCUCCGUUGAGUUUAUCGACUUCAUUAGAUAUUCCUGAACCGUUUUCAUUCCAUUAUCUAUUUCUUUCACCAUUUCUUUGUUAUCCGCGGUUGAGCCGUUAACCAACAUUGCCUUCACCUCCAGAACCUGUCGUUCUGACACAAUAACCUCUUAUGGAGAUUUCAUCAUUAUCAUGGGCGGAGGAGGCGAGAAUGGAAAUGAUGAUAGCAUUGAGGAUGAGGUAUUGGUAUGGAGGCUUGAAGAGUAGCAGGUUCCAAAAACAAGUGUGACCGUGUGAGGAAUGUAGAAGCAUCUCGAGAGGUGCUGGACAAAG